UCUGAUGGCGCUCGGUCCUGAAGUGUCUUUUUAGGACAAGAAGUUCUCGGAAUUUGUCACAAGCUAAACUGCUUUCUAUAAAAAGAACGGAAGACCGUAGGAUGACUCUCUGUAUGGGAUCUGCUCAGCCGAUGUCUGAGUGUCGAAGGAACUCCUGGAGCAUCAACUUAGAGAUGAAUGAAUGCUGUUUGAGGACCUCAUUAAAGAUGGAUGCAGCCGCCACCUGAGGCUCCUCCGAGCACUGAGGAAACCAUGUGAUUUCCCCUGACUGAGUCCUGUGUUCCUGCAUUGAGUGAAGAGUUAAGUCUGCGGCCGUGAGCUGAUGGCAUUCACACAAGGGGGCCAAGAUGGAGACUGCUCUUCUGUCUGGUCCACACAUGAGCAAGAAAAGAGGUGGUGUUGACAGCUCCACAGAUAUACAAGUGUGGCAGCCCAAGCUGGGAGACAUUCAGAGCCAACGAAUGGACCAGGUGCUGCAGCUUAUGAGGUGGGAAGCUUCAGAGGUGGUCAGUAUCAAGCCAUCCAGGAAAUGGAAGUGUCCCCAGAAGUUGGAAGCUUCAUCAAAGUCUAUUUAUUUAUUUAUUUUAAGAGUCAGCCUCUUAAAAUGUUCUCUGCAAUAUGUUGAAGUACAUCCAAGCUUUUAAGAGUAGUUCACACUGAGUAGCUCAAUGAUGUUCAUUGAUGGCUUGAACCUUUGUCAUGCAGAUGUAUGUAAGGAAACUUAAUAAAGUGGUUGACAACACA